UUGAAAUCGCUGCUUAGUAUCUCUCGUUUAAAGUCAGACAUUUUGAUACCUGAGUGAGUUUAUGUUGUCUGAGUAACUAGUUGUACUUGACAAGCAGUGUGGAGCGCAAGAAAAAAAUGACAAUUUGUCUGUGAGGUGACAGAGACAUGUGGUGUGGUCGUAGGUUUAACAACCGACUUUUACAGUAGAGAUACUGUAACGUUAACGUUAAGUGUAACCUAGCUACAAGUGUCAUAACAAUCAUACCGGAGGGUAACCUUUAGCAUUUCUACACUCAAUGAAGUUGUAAAAUGAUGUAAACACGGUGGUGACCAAGCUAGGUUGGGACGAUAGCUUCUCCAGAAGCUGUAGGCGUUCCUGCCUCCUCAUCAGCGGGUCGCCACCCCGUGUGUUCUCCAUCCCCUCCUCAUCUGGCAUUCAAGCAUGCUACAAUGACCCAGUGAUGCUGUGUGACAGGCCAGGCAGGGCACUAGCUGUUUGUGUCAAUCCAGAUCAAUCACUCCCUCUUCUGGACGGACAACGUCAUCAACGCACUCAAAGGUCACGGGGUGUACUCAAGCCAGGCCUGAUGUGGUGAACAGGGAGGUCAGCGUGGCGAGAGAACACCCUUGACUGACUGAGUGUCAUCUUAAGUAGACACGGAUCUGUGGAGUCACUCGCUGGGGCCCAGCUUCCCUCCUGUCAGAGCGAGGUUUCUUUCGCUGCUGUUAUAUUUCAGGCUGUUAUUGUUGGCCCUCCUGCAGCCUCGGUCCUGGAAACACGUCGGUGCUACUAGAAGGAUGCCAGAAAAAUGCAGAAAGGGAUCUGGACCAAGGAAGUAAAAAAAAAAAAGGGGCAGUGAACAGAGAAGCGGACAAGAUGGAAAGAAGACUAUAAAUAUACAUCUCAGGUCCAAUGCGCUGACGCUGGGGAAUAAAAAAAACAGCUGGAAUUGAACAUCGGGAAUCUCCACUGUAGCAGCCUCCCUUCGUGAUAAUUAGGUCCCCCUCCUCAUCUGUUAUGAGUUGGAAACUUUGCGCGGCUGAUAUCUGUUGUUUUCCUCACAUCUGAACAUGCUGCCAGAUGAAGAUGGAGGACAGAGGAAGAGGCGAGGAAGCUCAUUGAAAGUAUUGAGACAUAUCCAGAGGCCGGUCCAUCCACUCUCCUCUCCUUCCCCUGAUACAUGUGAUGAAUCACCACUGACUGCACCCACAUCUCUCUCUGUCAGACAGGGGCCGACCCCAGUCUAAUAUACACACCCCUAGGACCUGCUCAUAUUUCUCCAUUGCACUCCAUCCGUGCCUCUCUUUUUCUCCAUUCUUCACUCUUCUUGCCUUCCUUCUUCCCUCCUCUCAAGUUUUCCCUGUUUCUCACCGCCUCCUCCUCCUCCUGUCCUCUUUUUUCAGAACCUUCUUUAUUUGCCCCGUGCUCCUAAAUCACCCUCCCUGAAUUUCCCACAUGAAAAAUAAAAUGUUCCCAUUGCACCACUCAUCUUUACUAUCCAUCAAGAAAGAAGAAGAAGAAGAAGAAAAAAAAAAUCCCCACCACAUGAUUCCCAUGAUUAUAGACUCUAAUUGUU